rnacentral:rRNA from 1 species
UACAGAGGUCUCAAGCGUUGUUCGGAUUCAUUGGGCGUAAAGGGUGCGUAGGUGGCGCUGUAAGUCAGGUGUGAAAUUUCGGAGCUUAACUCCGAAACUGCAUUUGAUACUGCGGUGCUCGAGGACUGGAGAGGAGACUGGAAUUUACGGUGUAGCAGUGAAAUGCGUAGAGAUCGUAAGGAAGGCCAGUGGCGAAGGCGAGUUCCUGGACAGUUACUGACGCUGAGGCACGAAGGCCAGGGGAGCAAACGGG